AUUGAACGCUGGCGGCAGGCCUAACACAUGCAAGUCGAGCGGAUGAAGUGAGCUUGCUCCUGGAUUCAGCGGCGGACGGGUGUGUAAUGCCUAGGAAUCUGCCUGGUAGUGGGGGAUAACGUCCGGAAACGGGCGCUAAUACCGCAUACGUCCUGCUGGAGAACGUGGGGGAUCUUCGGACCUCGCGCUAUCAGAUGAGCCUAGGUCGGAUUAGCUAGUUGGUGGGGUGAAGGCCUACCACGGCGACGAUCCGUAACUGGUCUGAGAGGAUGAUCAGUCACACUGGAACUGAGACACGGUCCAGACUCCUACGGGAGGCAGCAGUGGGGAAUAGUGGACAAUGGGCGAAAGCCUGAUACAGCCAUGCCGCGUGUGUGAAGAAGGUAUUCGGAUUGUAAAGCACUUUAAGUUGGGAGGAAGGGCAGUAAGUUAAUAACUUGCUGUGUUGACGUUACCAACAGAAUAAGCACCGGCUAACUUCGUG
rnacentral:rRNA from 1 species